GCAGAUGUUCUCGGAGUUGGCGAGACGCUCUCAGUGUGCAUCUGUGCGUGGUGGAGAGAGGAUCUUUAUCGCGCUCUCUUGGUGCUACCUUUUUUAUAUAAAUUUCUGUGUGCUAGUGAAAGUGAAGUUACUGUGAAUAAAAGAGAGAGAGAAAAGUAUUAAGAAAAAAUAGAAAUUCAAAUCAGGAUAUUUUUUUUAUCCAUUUUUUAUUUUUAUUUUUGUUGUUUUCAUCUGACGAAAGUGUGUUAUUCGGAGAAAAAAAAAGAACAAAAAAACACGAAACCGCCGGAACUGUAGUCAUUCAUACAUUCGAGGAACUUACAAGGAUACAAUUGUAUUUUUGUUGUAUUCAACUCUAGCCCCCCUCCCAUCCUCCCCCCUCUGGUCCAAGUAAUUCUACUAGUGACCUUCAGAAACAGGUGUGUACGACGGUGACUUCGGUUGUCAUGGUAACCAGCCUACACUGUUGCAGGUAACGGGUCUUGCAAUGUUGAAAAUAGCAGCCGAUGGUUAUUUCUGAUUGCAAGAUUCCGCGUUUGGCUUGUCAGGGAUUUUUAUUCUUCAGUUUAUAUGUGUGGAGGUGGUAGGGGGGGGAGGAGAAAUAAUGAGUGGAUAUUUCUAAAAUUUGUGAUAGAGGCCUACCCGUAUUUUUUUUUCUGCGACAGUAGACUUUGGAUGAUGAAUAAGUCUUGCUUGCAAUGCCCGAGGGGAGUCAAUACUUUAUGUUACAGUAUUUGAGUCCAUUUUUUGCGGAAAGGGGAGAUAAGCGAAAUGAUUAUGAGAAAUAGAAAGACAGAGACAGGGGUUAAG
rnacentral:lncRNA from 1 species